GAGAGCGAACACUGUUCACCAGCUGGAUCUCUGGAAUUUUCCUUUGGUUUCUGUCACCCAUCCAAUCCAUCUGACUCACCAUUACACCCCCACUCAUUCACUCAACCCUCACUUCUCUCUACCCCACUCGGACUCCCCCGUCUCCCAACACUGUCACUCUCUCUCAUCCCUCUCUACUCUUUGCCUCUCCCAUCUGUCCCCCCACUGCAACUCUCCUUCUCCCUCUCGGCAAAACCGAGAACCACCUUAUCACCUCCAAACACCACCAGACUCACCCAAAAAUAACAUCCCUGGAGCUUUUGCGCUGAUUCCAGUUUUUUUACUGAUUUCCAAGAAGCGCAGUCUGCGAUGCCUGUUCCGUCCUGAUUUGAAGAAGAUUUCUCAAGCGACUGUAAUUUCAUGGUAACCGUCUCAGUUUUUUGGUUUGAACGCUAGAACCAGUGAUCUUUGAAAAAGAUCAAGGGGGUCAAGCGGUGGAGGAGUGGGUUAAUAGUUAUGUGUUCUUGAUAAUUA